rnacentral:rRNA from 1 species
GACAGAGGGGGCAAGCGUUGCUCGGAAUUACUGGGCGUAAAGGGCGCGUAGGCGGGAUGGCAAGUCGGUCGUGAAAUCCCUCGGCUCAACUGAGGAUCGUCGAUCGAUACUGCCGUUCUUGAGGAUUGCAGAGGAGACUGGAAUUCCCGGUGUAGCGGUGAAAUGUGUAGAGAUCGGGAGGAACACCGGUGGCGAAGGCGGGUCUCUGGGCAAUUCCUGACGCUGAGGCGCGAAAGCUGGGGGAGCAAACGGG